AGAACGAACGCUGGCGGCAUGCCUAAUACAUGCAAGUCGAACGAGACCUUCGGGUCUAGUGGCGCACGGGUGCGUAACGCGUGGGAAUCUACCCUUGGGUUCGGAAUAACAGUUGGAAACGACUGCUAAUACCGGAUGAUGACGAAAGUCCAAAGAUUUAUCGCCCAGGGAUGAGCCCGCGUAGGAUUAGCUAGUUGGUGAGGUAAAGGCUCACCAAGGCUACGAUCCUUAGCUGGUCUGAGAGGAUGAUCAGCCACACGUGGACUGAGACACCGGCCCA
rnacentral:rRNA from 1 species